UGAAGUUUUAUUAAAAGAAAAGGGUGAAAAGAACAAAGUUUUGUCCAUCUUUGUUCAUCAUAGCUGAAAGUUAGAGAAGAGAAAGGAGAGGAGAAAGCUCUUGAGUAUUUGGUCAUUAGGAGGAGGAAAAUUGAAGGCAGUUCGUGUGUGGAUCUCGUCAGCAUAUCGUCGCAAACAGAUGUGUAACUAACACCCUCUUUCUUAGUCUAGAUCGGCAAAAGUCGAAAAGCCAAAAUGCCGAAAACCGAUAUUUUGUAGAUUUGCGAGUGUGCGAAUGCUCGUGAGGCAUCAUAUUAGAAAGGUGUUGAUUAAAGGUUGGUUGCCAAAAAAACGGGUUUCUGAUGGAGGAGUCAAUUACACAAAUGAUCGAGAAGAAUGCCGUGGUUCGG